rnacentral:rRNA from 1 species
UACCGCGGUUAUACGAGCGGGCCCCAGUUGAUAUACACGGCGUAAAGAGUGGUUAAGGAUUAUGCCGAACUAAAGCCGAAGGCCCCCUAAGCCGUCAUACGCAUCUGGGGGUACGAAGCCCUAUCACGAAAGUAGCUUUAUUCAAGCCCACCCGACCCCACGACAGCUGAGAUA